UGCGGGUUGGAGAAGUCUGGCCUAUCUCACUAGCCUCAUAAGCUAGAAAUCGCUGGUUCGAAUCCAGCACCCGCAACCA
rnacentral:tRNA from 1 species